ACGGAAGGCAGCAGUGGGGAAUAUUGGACAAUGGGGGCAACCCUGAUCCAGCGACGCCGCGUGAGUGAAGAAGUAUUUCGGUAUGUAAAGCUCUAUCAGCAGGGACGAUAAUGACGGUACCUGACUAAGAAGCCCCGGCUAACUACGUGCCAGCAGCCGCGGUAAUACGUAGGGGGCAAGCGUUAUCCGGAUUUACUGGGUGUAAAGGGAGUGUAGGCGGCGAGGCAAGUCAGAUGUGAAAGCCCGGGGCUCAACCCCGGGACUGCAUUUGAAACUGUCUUGCUAGAGUGUCGGAGAGGUAAGCGGAAUUCCUAGUGUAGCGGUGAAAUGCGUAGAUAUUAGGAAGAACACCAGUGGCGAAGGCGGCUUACUGGACGAUUACUGACGCUGAGGCUCGAAAGCGUGGGGAGCAAACAGGAUUAGAUACCCUGGUA
rnacentral:rRNA from 1 species